UGCUGUGCUAGCAAUCAGUGAGACUCCGUGGGCGUAGAACCCUCCGAGCCAGGUGUGGGAUAUAAUCUCGUGGCGCGCCGUUUUUUAAGCCCGUCGGAAAAGCGCAGUAUUCGGGUGGGAGUGACCCGAUUUUCCAGGUGCCGUCCGUCACCCCUUUCUUUGACUAGGAAAGGGAACUCCCUGACCCCUUGCGCUUCCCGAGUGAGGCAAUGCCUCACCCUGCUUCGGCUCGCGCACGGUGCGCGCACCCACUGACCUGCGCCCACUGUCUGGCACUCCCUAGUGAGAUGAACCCGGUACCUCAGAUGGAAAUGCAGAAAUCACCCGUCUUCUGCGUCGCUCACGCUGGGAGCUGUAGACCGGAGCUGUUCCUAUUCAGCCAUCUUGGCUCCUCCCCUGACUGAUGUCCUCCUUAUAGGAAUGGGAAAUUCAGAUGCAGACAGGUGCUGAAGACCAUGUGAAGGCACAGGGAGGAGGUGGCCAUCUGCAAGCCAAGGAGAGAAGCCUCAGAAGAAACCAACCCUGCCAACACCGUGACCUCAGACUCCAGCCCCCAGAACUAGCCAUAGUUUGUCUUCCACAACUGGAGGUUUGAAAAGAAGGAUGAGGACACUGAAUCUCAGAGACGUCAAGUUCUUUCAUCGAGAUUCCAUAGAAUGUUCCCUGUUUCUUCAUCUAUGACAUGGGGAUAAUGUGAGUAUACCUACAUCAGAGGGCUGCGAUGAAGACUAAAUAAGCUCCUGCCAUCAAAAGUUGGAGUCUGUUUCCCCACGCCUUGAAUCUGGGCUGGCUCUAUGAUCCACUUUGGACAACAGAAUUUGGUGGAAGUGAUGCUAUGCCAAUGCUGAGGUGAGGCCUCAAGAGGCCUUGUGGGCUGUGACUCUUUUGGAACGCUGCCUAGCUGUCACGUGAACAAGGCUACUGCAUGAUGAGAGACCAUAUGGAGCCAAAACAUGCCUUUCCAGCUGAGGCCCUCCUAGUCCAGCCAGCCCUAGAUGCACAAGCUGGUGACCAAAGAUACAUGAGUGAGUCCAGAUGAGAAGUCCCUCGUUGAGCCCAGCCCAAUUGCUGAUCCACUGACUUGUGAGUAUUGUCUCCACCAGCCCACAGAUGGAUAUUCUUUGUUCUUAUCAACCUCCUCAUCAAAUACUUCAACCACUGACUGCCAGGCUGGCCUGUGCUGAGCAGAGGAGAUUAAAAGGAUUAUCCAGGCUUCUGGUUGAUAUUAGUUCUUCAGGGAGGCGAUGGAAUAUAGAUAAAUGACACGGAGCUUGCUGGAAUUCCAUCUCUGUCACUUGCAAACUGUGUGAUUCUGG
rnacentral:lncRNA from 1 species